CCUACGGGAGGCAGCAGUGAGGAAUAUUGGUCAAUGGGCGGAAGCCUGAACCAGCCAAGUAGCGUGCAGGAUGACGGCCCUACGGGUUGUAAACUGCUUUUAUACGGGAAUAACGCGCCUUACGUGUAGGGCUUUGCAUGUACCGUCUGAAUCAGGCCCGGCUAAUUCCGUGCCAGCAGCCGCGGUAAUACGGAAGGUCCGGGCGUUCUCCGGAUUUAUUGGGUUUAAAGGGCGCGUAGGCCGCAUGUCAAGCGUGCUGUGAAAGGUCCGGGCUCAACCCGGGCCUUGCAGCGCGAACUGGCGUGCUUGAGUCCGCGGAAGGCAGGCGGAAGUCGUGGUGUAGCGGUGAAAUGCUUAGAUAUGACGAAGAACCCCGAUUGCGAAGGCAGCUUGCUGCAGCGGAACUGACGCUGAUGCUCGAAAGCGCGGGUAUCGAACAGGAUUAGAUACCCCAGUAGUC
rnacentral:rRNA from 1 species